UGGAUUUAGCCAAUCUGAACGAAGCAGCCCAGGAUAGAACUGACUAGAGGACACUGAUCUAUCGAGUAACCAAGAGUCAACUUUGACUGAGCAGAUAGAUAGAUAGAUAGAAAGAAAUCUAUACAUAGGAAUUC